UGCAAAAGAGCUAGCAGCAAGGCAAGAGCCAAUCAAAGAAGAAGUCAAGCAUGAAGUGGAAGUGAAGGAAAACGAGAGAGUGGUGGAAGAACGGAAGGUUGAGGCAGUGGAAGAACCGGCUGCUUUGGAGGAACAGAAGAAUGCUGAUGAGCCCCAACCAGUGGUUUUAGGUAGCUCUUUGGUAGUAGUGGAUGAGGAGGAGCAGAAGAAUGCUGAUGAGCCACAACCAGUGGUUUUUGGUAGCUCUUUGGUUGUAGUGGAUGAGGAAGAGAAGGAAGGGCACUCCAAGUCGAGUGUUGAAGAAUCAGGUGACAAGAAAGAAGCGGUGAAGCAUGAGACCAGUGAUUCAAGCAAGGAU
rnacentral:lncRNA from 1 species